AGCUACAACAUGUUAAUGCGCGCUCAGUUAGUUGAACGAGCCUACGGUUCUCGGUGGAGAGAAAAAAUUUUUGUGACUAGGACAGGCACACAUGUAGUCAGCUUAGUAUAGAUACAUGUUUGAUCUGCUUCAACCUAAACAGGUUAUUUGGGAGCCGUACAAAAUUAUUGUGCAUACUUUGCCUAAUUUUUGUACGAAUGGUCGAAACAUAUGCCGAACGAUGAGUCCUUUCAUAUGUUUUCACAUUGGUGAGUGGCAUCUUCCUGACAGGGUGAUGAGACAAUUCGGUUUUCAGCAUAAUGUCUCAUCGCCUUGUAAUAUUGAACCCAUACUGCAUGAUA